rnacentral:rRNA from 1 species
UACGGAGGGGGCUAGCGUUGUUCGGAAUUACUGGGCGUAAAGCGCACGUAGGCGGCUUUGCAAGUCAGAGGUGAAAGCCCGGGCUCAACCCCGGAAUUGCCUUUGAGACUGCAUCGCUAGAAUUGUGGAGAGGUAAGUGGAAUUCCGAGUGUAGAGGUGAAAUUCGUAGAUAUUCGGAAGAACACCAGUGGCGAAGGCGACUACUGGACACAGUAUUGACGCUGAGGUGCGAAAGCGUGGGGAGCAACAGG